GUAGGGAAUAUUGGGCAAUGGUCGGAAGACUGACCCAGCCAUGCCGCGUGCAGGAAGACGGCCCUCUGGGUGGUAAACUGCUUUUAUCUGGGAAGAAAAAGGCCAUGCGUGGCAAAUUGCCGGUACCAGAUGAAUAAGCACCGGCUAACUCCGUGCCAGCAGCCGCGGUAAUACGGAGGGUGCGAGCGUUGUCCGGAUUUAUUGGGUUUAAAGGGUGCGUAGGCGGCUGAUUAAGUCAGCGGUGAAAGACUUCGGCUUAACCGGAGCAGUGCCGUUGAUACUGGUUGGCUUGAGUGUCGGAGGGGUACAUGGAAUUGAUGGUGUAGCGGUGAAAUGCAUAGAUACCAUCAGGAACACCGAUAGCGAAGGCAUUGUACUGGCCGACAACUGACGCUGAUGCACGAAAGUGUGGGGAUCGAACAGGAUUAGAAACCCUGGUAGUCC
rnacentral:rRNA from 1 species